rnacentral:rRNA from 1 species
AGUGAACGCUGGCGGUAGGCCUAACACAUGCAAGUCGAACGGCAGCACAGUAAGAGCUUGCUCUUACGGGUGGCGAGUGGCGGACGGGUGAGGAAUACAUCGGAAUCUACUUUUUCGUGGGGGAUAACGUAGGGAAACUUACGCUAAUACCGCAUACGACCUACGGGUGAAAGCAGGGGAUCUUCGGACCUUGCGCGAUUGAAUGAGCCGAUGUCGGAUUAGCUAGUUGGCGGGGUAAAGGCCCACCAAGGCGACGAUCCGUAGCUGGUCCGAGAGGAUGAUUAGCCACACUGGAACUGAGACACGGUCCAGACUCCUACGGGGGGCAGCAGUGGGGAAUAUUGGACGAUGGGCGCAAGCCUGAUCCAGCCAUACCGCGUGAGUGAAGAAGGCCUUCGGGUUGUAAAGCCCUUUUGUUGGGAAAGAAAAGCAGCAGGUUAAUACCCCGCUGUUCUGACGGUACCCAAAGAAUAAGCACCGGCUAACUUCGUG